CCUACGGGUGGCAGCAGUGGGGAAUAUUGGACAAUGGGGGGAACCCUGAUCCAGCCAUGCCGCGUGUGUGAAGAAGGCCCUCGGGUUGUAAAGCACUUUCAGUGAGGAAGAACGCCUGGUGGUUAAUACCCAUCAGGAAAGACAUCACUCACAGAAGAAGCACCGGCUAACUCCGUGCCAGCAGCCGCGGUAAUACGGAGGGUGCGAGCGUUAAUCGGAAUUACUGGGCGUAAAGCGCGCGUAGGUGGCUUGAUAAGCCGGUUGUGAAAGCCCCGGGCUCAACCUGGGAACGGCAUCCGGAACUGUCAAGCUAGAGUGCAGGAGAGGAAGGUAGAAUUCCCGGUGUAGCAGUGAAAUGCGUAGAGAUCGGGAGGAAUACCAGUGGCGAAGGCGGCCUUCUGGACUGACACUGACACUGAGGUGCGAAAGCGUGGGUAGCAAACAGGAUUAGAUACCCCUGUAGUC
rnacentral:rRNA from 1 species